GCCUGCGUAGCUCAGCUGGCCAGAGCAGCGGUAUCGUAAACCGCGGGUCGUCGGUUCGAAUCCGACCGCAGGCU
rnacentral:tRNA from 1 species